CUUAACCCAUGCAAGUCGAACGGUAACAGGUCUUCGGAUGCUGACGAGUGGCGAACGGGUGAGUAAUACAUCGGAACGUGCCCGAUCGUGGGGGAUAACGAAGCGAAAGCUUUGCUAAUACCGCAUAAGAUCUACGGAUGAAAGCAGGGGACCGCAAGGCCUUGCGCGAACGGAGCGGCCGAUGGCAGAUUAGGUAGUUGGUGGGAUAAAAGCUUACCAAGCCGACGAUCUGUAGCUGGUCUGAGAGGACGACCAGCCACACUGGGACUGAGACACGGCCCAGACUCCUACGGGAGGCAGCAGUGGGGAAUUUUGGACAAUGGGCGCAAGCCUGAUCCAGCCAUGCCGCGUGCAGGAUGAAGGCCUUCGGGUUGUAAACUGCUUUUGUACGGAACGAAAAGACUCUGGUUAAUACCUGGGGUCCAUGACGGUACCGUAAGAAUAAGCACCGGCUAACUACGUGCCAGCAGCCGCGGUAAUACGUAGGGUGCAAGCGUUAAUCGGAAUUACUGGGCGUAAAGCGUGCGCAGGCGGUGAUGUAAGACAGAUGUGAAAUCCCCGGGCUCAACCUGGGAACUGCAUUUGUGACUGCAUCGCUGGAGUACGGCAGAGGGGGAUGGAAUUCCGCGUGUAGCAGUGAAAUGCGUAGAUAUGCGGAGGAACACCGAUGGCGAAGGCAAUCCCCUGGGCCUGUACUGACGCUCAUGCACGAAAGCGUGGGGAGCAAACAGGAUUAGAUACCCUGGUAGUCCACGCCCUAAACGAUGUCAACUGGUUGUUGGGUCUUCACUGACUCAGUAACGAAGCUAACGCGUGAAGUUGACCGCCUGGGGAGUACGGCCGCAAGGGUUGAAACUCAAAGGAAUUUGACGGGGACCCGCACAAGCGGUGGAUGAUGUGGUUUAUUUCGAUGCAACGCGAAAACCCUUACCCACCUUUGACAUGUAUGGAAUCCUUUAGAGAUAGA
rnacentral:rRNA from 1 species